UACGGAGGGUGCAAGCGUUAUCCGGAUUCACUGGGUUUAAAGGGUGCGUAGGUGGGUUGGUAAGUCAGUGGUGAAAUCUCCGUGCUUAACAUGGAAACUGCCAUUGAUACUACUGAUCUUGAAUUUUCUGGAGGUAAGCGGAAUAUGUCAUGUAGCGGUGAAAUGCUUAGAUAUGACAUAGAACACCAAUUGCGAAAGGCGGCUUACUACAGGGAUAUUGACACUGAGGCACGAAAGCGUGGGGAUCAAACAGG
rnacentral:rRNA from 1 species